rnacentral:rRNA from 1 species
GACGUAGGGCGCGAGCGUUGUCCGGAUUUAUUGGGCGUAAAGAGCUCGUAGGCGGUUUGUCGCGUCUGCUGUGAAAACCUAAGGCUCAACCUUGGGCUUGCAGUGGGUACGGGCAGACUAGAGUGCGGUAGGGGUGACUGGAAUUCCUGGUGUAGCGGUGGAAUGCGCAGAUAGUCAGGAGGAACACCGAUGGCGAAGGCAGGUCACUGGGCCGCAACUGACGCUGAGGAGCGAAAGCAUGGGGAGCGAACAGG